GCCUUUGUACAGUUAAAAAUAAAUAAACUAAAAAAUAUGAAAAAAACAGUUUUAAAUGAUCGAUUUUAACAUCAAGUAAUCUGUAGUUCUGUAUAUAAAAACCUCAAUAUAUAAAAAAAUGUGAAUCAUUCAACGACAGCUAGACGAUUGUAAAAGAUGAUGUCGUUGGUAUAUGUGUGGUAAAUCGCCUCGUUGUACACUCAUGAUCGAUCAUAUCUUGUUUUAUACAUUUGUUUGUGAAGGGCACUAGAGAACCAGCAUUGUCACUAUCACAUGGUUCUAUGGCCACCAUGCAUUGUAAUAUAAUAUUCAUAAACGUAUUGUUAGAGUCCCUACUUGGAUAAUUGAAUUGAAGGGCAGAAAUUUUUACAUAAUGGGAAUAAGGGAAACAUUUUUUUUUUUCUGAAGUAAGGGAAACAUAGUUAUCAAUUAAAUCUAAACUUGACGGUUUUGGAUAAAAAGAAGUUUUAUUAAAAAAUAUGGGAAUUUUGUACUAGUAUAUGUACUAUUACGAAUGUGUUUUAACACACUAUGAUUACAGAUGGGUUGUUUUUCAAUAUUGUAAGGAUGUUUUGUCAAUAUUUGUAUGCUAAGAUGAACCGUUACAUCAUACUAGCUAGCGUCUAGGACCGAGCUUCAACCUGAUGAGGAGGAGGGGGUCAGCUGACCCCCGUGAUUUUUUUUUUUUGUUGUUUAGAUUGAAAAUUUGUGAAGGUGAAAUGAAAAUUGGUUAAUUUAUGAACAACUAGCCCCCUUAUAUUUUUAAUCUUUACACUUCUUUUAAUUUAUUAUAUAGUUAUAUUAAUAUUCAUCCCCGUGAAAAGAAUUCCUAUCUCAGCCACUGGUUUUAACAAGGCUGUAUUGUCCAGCUACGUAAACGUUACAACAAAAUAUAAUGCUAAAUCCACGGAAAUCGUGACAGGAAGGAAACGAACUGUCUUAAUAUUUCACGUAGCUCCUUCUCUUCACUAUCAUCACUAUCUCAUGGAUAUUACAAAAAUGAAGAAGAACAAAUAUUUGGUUUAAGUGUAAUUAGGAAAAUGUCAUUUAAAUAUACUUUCUA
rnacentral:lncRNA from 1 species